rnacentral:rRNA from 1 species
GGGAGUAACUUCGGGUAAACCGGAGCUAUACUGAUAAUAUAUUGAACCGCAUGGUUCAAUAGUGAAAGACGGUUUUGCUGUCACUUAUAGAUGGAUCCGCGCCGCAUUAGCUAGUUGGUAAGGUAACGGCUUACCAAGGCAACGAUGCGUAGCCGACCUGAGAGGGUGAUCGGCCACACUGGAACUGAGACACGGUCCAGACUCCUACGGGAGGCAGCAGCC